rnacentral:lncRNA from 1 species
UUGACGAUGAAUUGGUGAUAGCAUACUCUCAUUGCAGACCAGGUAGAUGUACUAAGCUGAUGCAGCAGAGGAGCUAGCUAUGCACCAGAUGCACCAAGCUGAUGCACCAAGCUGAUGCACCAGAGAUGCUAGAAUUCCUUGGUCAGAUAUGGAUCAUGGCCUAUGGCCUAAGGCACAUUGUGUCACACACCAACUAUUCUCUCGAUCAGAUGUGCCUCGAUAAGUUGGACUAAUUUUUCCUAGUAUAAGUCAUGAAUGUUUGUUGUAGUAGAG